AAAAUCAGUUCCUUUAUUACCUAACUUGGUUUGUUCUUGAUUGAGCCUGAGUUUUUGUUUUUCAUUUAAAUUCAGCCUAAAUUCUAAGUAACAAUUGAAAUCAUGAGGAUUUUCAGCAUUACGCUGCUGUGCCUAGCCAUCUUUGUGAUUGCUACAGAGGCCCGUAGUGCACAUCGUCGGCGUCCUUACGAAUAUGAUGAACGCGACGACGACGGAAAGAGGCCUUUGGACGAAAAGUCUGGACACGUCGUCAAGAAAAUAGGCCAGCUUCUCAA